AAAACAGUACCCAUUGCAGGACGGUUAUAUGAACUGGCAGCCAUUGUUGAUGUUGGCAUUGCUUGCUGGGGGUGGGAGAAUUCCACGAUUACAGCUCAAAUAGAAGGAGUGAGUGAGGCAGGAUGAGUUUGAUGGGUGCUUAGGCUGAGAGUCACGCCGCAGGGUCAGUGAGGGGUACGGCCGGCAGUAUGGUGACCCCUACGGCGGCGGCAGAAAGAAGAGGCACAGUGGUCAAGACAGAGGGACUGGGAAGGCAGACAGAAGAGGAGGAUGGACUGGGACGACCAGUACUAUGGGUCUGGCUGCGGCAUCCUACCCACCCCCCAGAUGCCCCCACGCUAACUGCCCUGGCGCGACCCUAACAUUGGCCCUGCACACUCCUGGGGUGUGGUGGGGGGCUUUGUACCAGGGCGGCCGGGGCAGGGGCAGGGUAGACCAACAGGACUGGGGUACAAGAUGAAGAAAACAUUGCUGGCUAAGAAGAAAAUAGGAGCUAAGGAGCUCCUCCCAGAACGAGCCCACACCUGCACCUGAGGACACACCCACACCCACACCUGCACCCAAGUCUGCACCCAAGCCUUCACCCACCCCCAGCACCCACUCCAGCACCCACUCCAGCACCCAGCACAGCCCAGGGGAAGGCCCAGGGCAGGCAGCCAAGGGCCGAGGCAGGGGCAGGGGUGUGGCUUGGGGGAGGAGAGUGUGAAGUGUGUGGGUUAGGUUUGUGUGUGGUAUUUUGUCUGGGCUGCUCCAUAUGUGGGAGAGCUCGGUUGGUGUAGAGAUGGAUAGAUAGAUGUGUGUGUGUGUGUGUGUGUGUGUGUGUGUGUGUGUGUGUGUGUGUGUGUGUGUGUGUGUGUGUGUGUGUGUGUGUGUGUGUGAGGGAUUUGUACUUCAUUCAAGCAUCUUUUAUUUUUACUACUGCUACUAUCUUGUUCACUACUGGAAGAUUAGUACUAAGAUGUGAUUCUUGUUAUUUUUAAGGGUAUUAUUCCAAUGUUUUUUGUAUGAUUGCAUCUCAUUCCUGUUGUACUUGAGAGAGAGAGAGAGAGAGAGAGAGAGAGAGAGAGAGAGAGAGAGAGAGAGAGAGAGAACAGGCCCCAUUGCUCAAACUAAUGAUAAAAAAAAAAACUCAACCAUUCCAAAAAGUAUAGAUAUAUUAGUUUUGUGAGUAGAAUUUGCCAGAAAGGAAAUUUGAAAUACAUGAGUGUGUGGGAGAGGCAAAGGAUAUGUACAGUAGGGCGGCAGAUUGGUGUGUGAAGGAUGUGUAGGAGAGGCUGAGGAUAUCCUGUACACUGUCAGGAUGGUUAAGAGUGAUUUGGAAGGAAGGUAGUGUGUGAAGGAUGCAUUAGGUAGGUUGUGUAGUAGUGGGUACAAUGUGUUAAGAAUGAUAUGUAUGUUACAGGAGAUAAGGAUGUGUAUUUUCACCACAAGUAUGUGUAGAGAUUGGUGUUAAGACAGUAGGAAGGUUUGAUUAAGCUGGACCAUCAUUCCUUGUGUUGUCUUAAUAAAUGUAUGCAAACUGA